UCCACUUAUAUAACUUCAUAUAGGUUUUAUCCUCCAUUUUUUACCGUUGUAAGCCAAAAGCCAAUUACAAAUGUUCAGACAGUAGAGGGUAUGCUUUGGAACCAAGCAACGAUCUUCAUGUAGACUUGGAAUGGAAAGCUUCAUUAGUCAGUAGCCAAUUCGGAAAUUGGUAAGCCUUGAAAAUGGCCGUUUCCGAACUGUUUUCCACGUUUAUUUUCUAUUUUCAUCUAAGGUGAAGGGUUACACGAAACUUGAUCCAAUAUGAAACCGAAGGCACAUUGGUUUCUUAUCAAAUGGUUAAGAAAUUCGAUCCUGAUCAAUAAAAAUCACAGCCUCUAGCAUCUUUUUUUUUUUCCUUUCUCUCACGUACCAUUCAUCAAAACAGAUGGGCAAAAGGCUUAUUCCAUCAUAGGUUUUUCAGAGGUUUCAAACCCUUUAGUUUUGAUUUGAGUUUCCACAUGCUGCAAGUACCCAUUACUCUAAGGGAAGAGAGAAAAUAGGAACAAUAAAUUGCAUAAAGAGGAUUUUUUGUGAUUUGAACGUAGGCCGGUUAAGUGUUUUAAGGGCUAGAGAAAGGGACCCAAGUGGUGGCACCUGUCAAAUGGAAUAGACAGCUAUCCCUACCUAAAGUCUAUCUGUAUGAAAAGCUCUCUUUGGCUUCUAAAAUUCAACUUAGUAACUCUUAAAUCAGAGAUUGGAAGACAUUAACAAAAGUCUUUUUGAACACUUUCAUUUUUCUGCAAUACUCGACAGACAUGUCCCGUGAAAUUGCCAUAAAAAAUCUUCAAUACAUACCGUAUAUUGUCGGCCAACGACUGUCGCCAAAAGAAUAUUAUUUUUCUUACGUAAUCUACAUGUAGUCAAGAGACAUGUGCAUCUUGCUUAACAAAUUAUAAAAACGUGUACUUUCUACUUUCUUGGCAAGACCUUGCUUCUUUCGAUGGCUUCUAAACCCAUCUUCUAAACCCAUCUACUGUAAUAUCUAACUCAAAUAAUAAUUGAGCUAGAUUAAUAUAAAAAUUUAUUAAUUUAUUAUGAUAUUAUUUAAUUAAAAAAAU
rnacentral:lncRNA from 1 species